rnacentral:tRNA from 1 species
GGGCCGGUGGUGGAAUUGGUAGACACGCUAGAUUUAGGUUCUAGUGCCGCAAGGUGUGAAGGUUCAAGUCCUUUCCGGCCUACCA